AAUUUAUUAUAAUGGGAGUAUUAUAGAUGACUUAGUGAAGUUGGAAAGGCGUUUUAGAGUGGAAAAUGGCAGGAAGCAGCAUUAACAGAGGAGAAAGAUGGUCUCUCAAUGGAAUGACUGCUCUUGUCACCGGCGGCACUCGUGGGAUCGGGCACUCCAUAGUGAGUGACUUGGCUGCGUUUGGCGCUGCAGUGCACACCUGUUCCAGGACCCAAACAGAGCUCAACAAAUGCUUACAAGAGUGGCAGAGUCAGGGGUUUCAGGUAACUGGGUCGCUCUGUGACGUGUCCUCACCACCCCAGAGAGAGAAGCUCAUUCAGGAAGUUGCAUCCACCUUCAAUGGCAAGCUUAACAUCUACGUGAACAAUGUUGGAAUAAACAUUAGAAAGCCAACCAUUGAGUACACUGCUGAAGAAUAUUCACAGAUUAUGACAGUUAAUUUAGACUCCUCAUUCCAUCUGUGCCAACUUGCAUAUCCUCUUCUGAAAGCAUCUGAAAAGGGAAGCAUUGUGUUCAUUUCAUCUGUUGCUGGUGUAGUGAGUUUAGGUACUGGAGCUGUCUUUGCAGCAAGUAAAGCUGCAAUUAAUCAGCUUACAAAAAACCUGGCUUGUGACUGGGCCAAAGACAACAUACGGAGCAACUGUGUUGUACCAUGGGCAACCAGAACCCCGGUUGUAGAACAUGGCCAGCUUGACGUUCAGCCUUCUUUCUCUCACACACACUCUCUCUACUAAAGUCGCAAACACAAACACUUUGUGAAGUGAAGCAAUGGAGUUUCAGAUUUAGAUCUCGUGCUAAAUCAUCGAUCCGAGAGAGAGAAAGAGAGAGGUGUUGGAUUAUUGAUUCGCCGAAGCAUUUGAGGGUUUAUCACACACCAUUCUCAAACCCUUCGUCAAUCAGACGAAAACCAAAAAAUGCAAACUUCUUCGUCAAUCUCCACAACAUGACCAGCAGUGUGAUUCUCAGAAGAUCCUCUUCCGUAAUCUCGCGCCGCUUCUUCGCCGCUCUUGCCUCCAUCGAGCCGCUUCCUCACAGGUUCCCCGCCGACAAGUAUGGUGUCUCCGACGACGGAUCCCGAACCAUUCACACGAAGCCCGGACCGUUGAAUUUCCACGCGUCGGCGGUUCCUCGUGCGGCGCAGUUCGCCGUCUAGCGCGAUUACUCUAACUACGAGGAGGUUAGCGGCGCGAAUAGUGACGAAGGACUAGAGAUUGCGAAUCUUGGGAUGGAUACGCAGAUUGUAGAUGCUCUAGCCAAGAAAGGGAUUGCAAAGCUCUUCCCCAUUCAGGGGACAGAGAUGGUUAUAUGAGUGAUCCUGGGCAUGAUCUAAAUGAAAGGGGUUCUGUUUCUUCCUUAAAUGCACAUAGGGAGUCUGUUUUUGGUAAGCUUCAAAGGAUAAAUAAAUUGUUCCUAUCUGUGUUUGAAAUUAGUUUCCCUGAGGUUGGAUUUAUGAACAGCUUAAUUGGAAAUGAUCGAAGCUCAAUUUGAUGUUUGGCUUAGGCAAAGCCCUCAGUGAUUUGGAAAUCCAGUACACCUCUGUUUCAAAUUCUUGUUAAAUCAGUCUUAUAUGUGAAUAAUAUCAAGACAACACUCAUUAAUUGA